UACGUAGGGGACGAGCGUUGUCCGGAAUUACUGGGCGUAAAGGGCGCGCAGGCUGUGCUGCAAGUCAGCUGUGAAAUAUCUGGGCUUAACCUGGAUAUGCGGUUGAGACUGCAGUGCUGGAGUGCUGUAGAGGCAAGUGGAAUUCCCAGUGUAGCGGUGAAAUGCGUAGAUAUUGGGAAGAACACCGGUGGCGAAGGCGACUUGCUGGGCAGCAACUGACGCUGAGGCGC
rnacentral:rRNA from 1 species